rnacentral:rRNA from 1 species
UGAGUACGAGAUGCUACGGCAUCGAAGCAGUCUAUGUCAUACUUCCAAGAAAAGCUUGCAAUGUCAUAAACAAAUAAUGCCUGUACCAUAACCGACACAGGUGGGUAGGUAGAGUAUACUAAGGGGCGCGAGAUAACUCUCUCUAAUGAACUCGGCAAAAUGACUCCGUAACUUCGGGAGAAGGAGUGCCUUAUUUUUAUAAGGUUGCAAUAACAAGAUCCAAGCAACUGUUUACCAAAAACACAGGUCUCCGCUAAGUCGUAAGACGAUGUAUGGGGGCUGACGCCUGCCCAGUGCCAGAAGGUUAAAGAAGUUGGUUAGCAUUAGCGAAGCUGAUAACUGAAGCCCUGGUGAACGGCGGCCGUAACAAUAACGGUCCUAAGGUAGCGAAAUUCCUUGUCGGGUAAGUUCCGACCCGCACGAAAGGCGUAAUGAUUUGGAUACUGUCUCGGAGAGGGGCUCGGUGAAAUAGACUUGUCUGUGAAGAUGCGGACUACCUGCACCUGGACAGAAAGACCCUAUGAAGCUUUACUGUAACUUGAGAUUGAAAUUGGACUUUAUCUGCGCAGUAUAGGUGGGAGACGUUGAAAAUAUUCUUGCGGGAAUAUUGGAGUCAUCAGUGAGAUACCACUCUUAUAAUGUUAGAUUUCUAACUUUGUAUCAUUAUCUGGUCAAAGAACAGUUUCAGGCGGGCAGUUUGACUGGGGCGGUCGCCUCCCAAACGGUAACGGAGGCGCACAAAGGCUUCCUCUGAACGUGUAGAAAUCGUAUCUAGAGUGUAAAGGCAUAAGGAAGCUUGACUGUGAGACCUACAAGUCGAGCAGGGACGAAAGUCGGUCUUAGUGAUCUGACGGUGCUGAGUGGAAAGGCCGUCACUCAACGGAUAAAAGUUACUCUAAGGAUAACAGGCUGAUCUCCCCCAAGAGUUCACAUCGACGGGGAGGUUUGGCACCUCGAUGUCGGCUCAUCGCAUCCUGGGGCGGUAGUACGUCCCAAGGGUUGGGCUGUUCGCCCAUGAAAGCGGUACGCGAGCUGGGUUCAGAACGUCGUGAGACAGUUCGGUCCAUAUCCGGUGUAGGCGUUAGAAUAUUGAGAGGAGCCUUCUUUAGUACGAGAGGACCGAGAAGGACAUACCUCUGGUGUACCAGUUAUCGUGCCAACGGUAAACGCUGGGUAGCCAUGUAUGGAGAGGAUAACCGCUGAAAGCAUCUAAGUGGGAAGCCCACCUCAAGAUAAGUAUUCUCAC